GGUAAGGAAUGAUUUUUGCUCCUCCCCUCAUUAACGGGGAGCAGGAUCCAGCUAUGUAGAAGAAUGUACUAUAGUUGGUAGUAUGAUACACCUGCGUGCUAGGUGCUGUGGCAGGGGCCAGGUGAGUGGCGUAAUUCUCCUUGGGGCUGGGAGGCCAAGGGAGAGGCAGUGACAUCUGAACCGGGCUUUGGAGUGCAGCCAUCUGCCAGCGGAGAGAGAAGAAUGAUUGUCCCUGGCUGUUGCUGGAGAGAAGAGACAUCCUGAGGCUGACAUGUGGACGUGAGCUCACCAGACAGGCAGAUCUUCUAUAAUUUCUCUCAGCAAUGGGACGCCUGGGUGACUCAGCAGUU